AUCGAGCCUUUGGUUUAGGUAAGUUUAAGGUUUGUAUUUACUUCGGACCAGUUAACAAAACUCAAGCCCAUGCCCUUUCAGUUAAGAUGUUACGUUUCGAACCAGAAUCCAAAACUCAGUCUAAGUGGGAUAUAGGAUAGCUAGUGAUAACGUAAUUUAUCUUUUUAUUUUGCUUUUUUGUUUAUAACGUAAUUUACUAGCUAAUUAUAUGGAGUGUGAGAGUGUGCGCCGUGUGUAUAAGAUGCAUGGGGUUAGGCUAAACUAAAGGAAUUAAAAUUUUGAGAGCAUAUUUAAAGAGAAAAUAUAUCUUUUCUGAACAAAAUAACUAAUCUCCUAACAUCAGAAAAAUUAGUCGAGUUUCGUUAUUUAAACCAAAACAGUAGUAAAGUAUAUAUAGAAGGAAAAAUACGGAUUUCGAGGUUUCGUAUAUUUUUCUAUGGCCUUCUAUGUAAAUUUCAUGUUAGAGGCAAGUAAGAAACUCACCUGUUUGUAUACGCGGUCUUUCUUAAUCGUCAACCUUUAAUUUUUUUUGUUUGCGUUUGGCCUAAAAUAUCCGAAUAAUUAAAUUAAUUAUGCAAUAUAUUUUACCAAAAUUUUAAUUCCUUCAGUUUUGAGGGUGGGCAGUUCGGGUGGUGGCAGGUUGGGCAGUUGUGAGUGUCUGUGUGAUGGUGAGGAAAGCGGAAGUUACGAAUGGAAUGCAGGUAGCUUAGGAACGAGGCAGACAGCUUAGGAACGAGGCAGACAGCUUAGGAACGAGGCAGAUAGCUUAGGAUUGAGGCAGUUGGUAGGAAUCAGUGGGGGGCACUUGUCAUUUCGGCCAUGGGAUUCAAAAUUUGCAUGACGAGUAUUUGUUACUAAUGCUUGUUGUUUACAUUUAUUAGGUAUGCGCGUGGCUGCUCUCAAGAGAAGAUCAACUUAGCAAUUUGCAUUAGCAUAUUUGCAAGGUUGGUCUUCUCUUCGCCCCGCUACCCCGGCUGGCUCUCCGAGUGCUAUCUCUACUUUAAGUAGAAGUACUUUUGCUUCUGCUUGAAGUAGAGGUAGCACUUGGGGAGCCGGCCGGGGUAGAGGGAUUUUUUUUAAUUUUUUUUUUCAAUUCCCAUGGGAAUUGAAUUUUGAAUUAAAAAGGAGUCUCUUGUAUAAUUAAUGAACAAUUUAUUGAAAAGAACUUGUAAUUUUACAAUUUGAAUAACAAUAAAAGAGAACAACCACUGCAUACUGUACUUAUUUAAAUAACACUAGAAGAAAACAGAACAUGGCAUAAAGAGAACAAUUAACAUUGUGUUUAAACACAAGUGAAUAAGCACAAGUGAAAACACAACAUUAAAAAACUUGUUUUCCCGCGAAUUAACAUUAAAAAAGUUAAUUCUUGAGGAAACAAGAGAACCUGGUCUUUUCAAGAUAAAUGUUUACACUUCAAAAUAAAUAUUGUAAAACAACUCUAAUGAUAAAUUUUACGAGUGACGGAGAAAUGAAAAGCGUAACACCAGGUUGUUUUACAAAUAAAAUAUAUGGCUCAAAGACAAAGUAAAUCGAACUUGCUUUUACUUUUUUGAAUACAACUAACUGUUUUUGGUAAAGAAACCAACAUUUUCACUCGAGUAUGGAAAAUAAUGAUUUUAUCGCAAUGUUUAGGUGCUAAGUGAAGUCCAUUCGUUGUAAUGCAACAUCAGUUGUCACAUGGUUGGAAAGACAUUGUCGUUUACAACAAAUUCCAUUGCUUGAAGCAAAUUAAUUUACUCAAAGUGCCUUAACAUUUUGACAAUACAUUGGCAGCAUAUUUCAUUAAGGGACCGGUCAUAAAGUAAUUACUAGGUGAAGGAUAAAUGAAAUUUCAAGUACAUAUCUCCAUACCCUCCCAAAAACCUAUGGAAAAAUUUUCGUAACCCCCUUCAAUGUAAAUGAAAAUUUUCAUACCCCCCUUUCAAUCAUUAACAGGUUCUAAUGGUGUGAGCUUGCUAGCAUUUCAGAUGUAUCAGAUUUGUACUCCAAAAGUCGCACGGAUACUGAAUCCUACUUAUCAUCUGACAUUUAGUCAGACUGAAACAUAUACACUUUGUUUUGAUUUAAUAAUAACUAUAGUAAAACAAUUCUUUCCAAACUUAAAUCUGGGCCCAAAUACAUUCAAUAUUCAACAAUAAUUAUAAAAUGUAAUUCUUUCCCGUACCUAUACUAUUAAGAUUUUGGUACCCCCUAGAAGUUCUGUUGUUUUUUCGUAUCCCCCUCAGAGGUUCUGGGGCUUUUUCGUACCCCCCCCAAAAAAAAAAAAAUCCUCCACACCCCCUAGUAAAUACUUUAUGACCGGUCCCUAAACUCAGAAAUCUUUUUAAACAUCGAAACAUUAGAUCAUCGGUUCCAUACUCAAUUGAACAUAUAUAAAUUUCUUUCAAGUGCAAAAUCAAGAAUUUAAGAAUUUGAAAUUAUCCCGCAAACACAGUCUUUCGGAGCCAUAUAUCUUUGAGCGUUGUUUUUAACCUGACAACUUUGAAUUGAUUAUAUAUGUUAAUAUUAAUUCAAGUGAUGAAAAUGAAGUUCAAUAAAAUUUUUAAAAAAGUUAUUUCUCCAAUUCUGAUUAAUUUAGAACAAAAAUUCAGUUUCAAUUUGCUUUGCUUAAGAAAAUGGUACAUUUCUCGUUCUCGAUAAAUACAUUUAAAAUGAUACACAUUCAUCCACUCCUUUACAAACAAACAUCUCCUAAAUUUCACUUAGGGAAAAGUUGUCCUGUUUUAUAUUAUUCAUAUAUUUAGAAAACACUUCGGGAAAUAUUUUUUAUGCAGAUCAUGUACAGAAACAUACAAAAUGUGGUUGAACAAAACUUUCAAAUGUUCAUAAUUUUUUU